AAUAAUGUCUGUAAAUAAAAACUCAAUUUUUAUUUUAUGCUAAUGGCUUUCUGCCUAUAACUAAUUCUUAAUCCAUUUGAGGGACAAGAUACUAGAAUAGAUAAUAGAUUUUGUCAUUGUUUUGGCAUGUACAUGAUUACUUAACCUCUGCUAAUAGCACAAUACUAACAGCAUAAAGAAUACCAAAUAUUGUAAUAAUUGAUACAGGUGAUGCUUGUAUAAAGCAUUAAAUGGACUCACUGUAAAGUUCAGAAAUUAAACUUGUUGCAUGACAGUGAAAACACUGAAAUACGAAAGAAAAUAACCUUGGAGGACAUUAUUCCUUUUAAAAAUUUAUGUGUGUGUGUGUUUAUAUUAUUUCUUUUUUGAUAAAAUGUCUGACAUUGAUAGUACUUUAAUAAUAAGAUAAAUAGGAGAAACUAUAGUAAUUUAGAGAAAAUAA
rnacentral:lncRNA from 1 species